UUUACACAUCUGUAGUACCAAAGAUAGCUAUCCCCGUUCUAAUUCACUGUUUUAUGUUUCAGAGGAUAUACCUAAAUUGUUUUAAAUGUUGUGAAUACAUUUCUGGUACUGUGUCCUUAGUAAGUGCAAGUAAAUAUAAAGAUUAGCAGAUUGGUCUUAAAGGAUCAAUCAGUAGAAAGACAUACACAUAUGCAUUUAUUUCAAACAGCGUGUUUCAUGGCUUUUUAAAUGUCUGCCCCCUCCACCUUGUAAAACUGAAAUAAAAUCUUUCUUUCCACGUCGUGCCAGUCUCUUCAUGGCCAUCACUCCUCCCCUGGUUGAGGUCAUCAUUGACGAUAAUCUUACCCAAACCAAUACUUCCUCAUUGGGAGGCCACUCUGUGCCAAUUAGCAUCUCCUAACAUCUCCUUAAUGUACUUCUAUAGGCAGCGUCGUAAUUCAGAGUGUUAAUAUGCUGAAUGUCAACACUGUAAUAGGAAGCACCUCUAGUAAUGC